CAAUAUCAAAAAACGGCAAAAUGAAAAUAAUUUAUUUUUACAUAUUGGCAUAGCUAUAAUGUUGGUUUGCCAAUUGAUUCACAUUAUAGAGGAUUAAGAGUUCGGCUCUCACCAUCUCAAAUGAUGAUUUAUUGGACAAUGGAAAUUAUACAGAAAAUCUACAUCACAAAUUAAAAGUAAAUCAUUAUUGGGAUUUAGGAUAAUGAUAACAGAAAAAGAGCAAACGAUGAGAUGGAAACUUGGGUGAAUCCAUGCAUGCAUGCAUGGUCCUUCCACAUAUCUUAUCAGAAGAUUUUCAAUAACAGAGAGUCAUUCAGCAGGAGCAUCUUCCAUUACAAAAGGGAUUGCAGAUAAUUUCUUGGAGUUUGCGCCCCAAAGCCAAAUUCAAGACUUGGGCAUUUUUCUCAGAGGAAUCUGAAGCUGAAUGCUCCGCAGCCAUAGCCACAGCCCAGCUGCUAAGGUGGCUCUGAAGUGCAAUAAAAAUGACAAAUGCCACAAAUAUUAGUACUGCAAAUUUGGCCAUUUUUUAGCACUAGAAGAUAU
rnacentral:lncRNA from 1 species